AUACGUAGGGUGCGAGCGUUGUCCGGAAUUACUGGGCGUAAAGAGCUCGUAGGUGGUUUGUCGCGUCGUCUGUGAAAUUCCGGGGCUUAACUCCGGGCGUGCAGGCGAUACGGGCAUGACUUGAGUACUGUAGGGGAGACUGGAAUUCCUGGUGUAGCGGUGAAAUGCGCAGAUAUCAGGAGGAACACCGGUGGCGAAGGCGGGUCUCUGGGCAGUAACUGACGCUGAGGAGCGAAAGCAUGGGUAGCGAACAGGAUUAGAUACCCUGGUAGUCCAUGCCGUAAACGGUGGGCGCUAGGUGUAGGGGUCUUCCACGACUUCUGUGCCGUAGCUAACGCAUUAAGCGCCCCGCCUGGGGAGUACGGCCGCAAGGCUAAAACUCAAAGGAAUUGACGGGG
rnacentral:rRNA from 1 species